rnacentral:rRNA from 1 species
AUUGAACGCUGGCGGCAGGCUUAACACAUGCAAGUCGAGCGGAGAUGAGGUGCUUGCACCUUAUCUUAGCGGCGGACGGGUGAGUAAUGCUUAGGAAUCUGCCUAUUAGUGGGGGACGACAUUCCGAAAGGAAUGCUAAUACCGCAUACGUCCUACGGGAGAAAGCAGGGGAUCUUCGGACCUUGCGCUAAUAGAUGAGCCUAAGUCGGAUUAGCUAGUUGGUGGGGUAAAGGUCUACCAAGGCGACGAUCUGGAGCGGGUCUGAGAGGAUGAUCCGCCACAGUGGGACUGAGACGAGGCCCAGACUCCUACGGGAGGCAGCAGUGGGGAAUAUUGGACAAUGGGGGGAACCCUGAUCCAGCCAUGCCGCGUGUGUGAAGAAGGCCUUAUGGUUGUAAAGCACUUUAAGCGAGGAGGAGGCUACUGAGACUAAUACUCUUGGAUAGUGGACGUUACUCGCAGAAUAAGCACCGGCUAACUCUGUGCCAGCAGCCGCCGUAAAAC